UACAACUUUCAGCAACGGAUCUCUUGGCUCUCGCAUCGAUGAAGAACGCAGCGAAAUGCGAUAAGUAAUGUGAAUUGCAGAAUUCAGUGAAUCAUCGAAUCUUUGAACGCACCUUGCGCUCCUUGGUAUUCCGAGGAGCAUGCCUGUUUGAGUGUCAUGAAAUUCUCAA
rnacentral:rRNA from 1 species